rnacentral:rRNA from 1 species
UGACCUCGGAUCAGGUAGGGAUACCCGCUGAACUUAAGCAUAUCAAUAAGCGGAGGAAAAGAAACCAACAGGGAUUGCCCUAGUAACGGCGAGUGAAGCGGCAACAGCUCAAAUUUGAAAUCUGGCCUUCAGGCCCGAGUUGUAAUUUGUAGAGGAUGCUUUUGGCGCGGUGCCUUCUGAGUUUCCUGGAACGGUACGCCAUAGAGGGUGAGAGCCCCGUAUAGUCGGCCACCAAGCCUGUGUAAAGCUCCUUCGACGAGUCGAGUAGUUUGGGAAUGCUGCUCAAAAUGGGAGGUAAAUUUCUUCUAAAGCUAAAUACCGGCCAGAGACCGAUAGCGCACAAGUAGAGUGAUCGAAAGAUGAAAAGCACUUUGAAAAGAGGGUUAAAAAGCACGUGAAAUUGUUGAAAGGGAAGCGCUUGUUACCAGACUUGUGCCCUGUAGAUCAUCCGGCGUUCUCGCCCGGUGCACUCUACCUGGUUCAGGCCAGCAUCGGUUCUUA